rnacentral:rRNA from 1 species
CCUACGGGAGGCAGCAGUGGGGAAUAUUGGACAAUGGGGGCAACCCUGAUCCAGCCAUGCCGCGUGUGUGAAGAAGGCCCUCGGGUUGUAAAGCACUUUCAGUGAGGAAGAACGCCUGGUGGUUAAUACCCAUCAGGAAAGACAUCACUCACAGAAGAAGCACCGGCUAACUCCGUGCCAGCAGCCGCGGUAAUACGGAGGGUGCGAGCGUUAAUCGGAAUUACUGGGCGUAAAGCGCGCGUAGGUGGCUUGAUAAGCCGGUUGUGAAAGCCCCGGGCUCAACCUGGGAACGGCAUCCGGAACUGUCAAGCUAGAGUGCAGGAGAGGAAGGUAGAAUUCCCGGUGUAGCGGUGAAAUGCGUAGAGAUAGGGAGGAAUACCAGUGGCGAAGGCGGCCUUCUGGACUGACACUGACACUGAGGUGCGAAAGCGUGGGUAGCAAACAGGAUUAGAUACCCUAGUAGUC